rnacentral:tRNA from 1 species
GCCUGAGUGGUGGAACUGGUAGACGCGCUGCGUUCAGGGCGCAGUGGGGAUUCCCCGUGGGGGUUCAAAUCCCCCCUCAGGCA